GACGAACGCUGGCGGCGUGCCUAAUACAUGCAAGUUGAGCGCUGAAGGUUGGUACUUGUACCAACUGGAUGAGCAGCGAACGGGUGAGUAACGCGUAGGGAAUCUGCCUUUGAGCGGGGGACAACAUUUGGAAACGAGUGCUAAUACCGCAUAAAAACUUUAAACACAAGUUUUAAGUUUGAAAGAUGCAAUUGCAUCACUCAAAGAUGAUCCCGCGUUGUAUUAGCUAGUUGGUGAGGUAAAGGCUCACCAAGGCGAUGAUACAUAGCCGACCUGAGAGGGGGAUCGGCCACAUUGGGACUGAGACACGGCCCAAACUCCUACGGGAGGCAGCAGUAGGGAAUCUUCGGCAAUGGACGAAAGUCUGAACGAGCAACGCCGCGGGAGUGAAGAAGGGUUUCGGAUCGUAAAACUCUGUUGGUAGAGAAGAACGUUGGUGAGAGUGGAAAGCUCAUCAAGUGACGGUAACUACCCAGAAAGGGACGGCUAACUACGUG
rnacentral:rRNA from 1 species